rnacentral:lncRNA from 1 species
UUCAGGUUUAUGCUUGGACCUGAAUUUGUCUAGGACCUUGGACCUCAACUUCGACCUUGUCUUAAUCAGAGGGCUUGAACGUUGACCUAGAUAUUGGAACAUCUAACUUUUAUCUUAGGUCUCAAACCUAGUUUAGAACAUAAUCUUGGUCCUGGUACUAGGAUCUGGACCUUGAUUCUUAACUAAGAUUAUGGACCUCAAACUUUGACCAGGACUUUAGACCUCAACCUUGACCUGGUCCUAGAUUUUGAACCUGGUCUUCUGACAUAAAUUUGACCCAGACUU